rnacentral:rRNA from 1 species
UACAGAGGUCCCAAGCGUUGUUCGGAUUCACUGGGCGUAAAGGGCGUGUAGGCGGCCUUUUAAGUCAGGCGUGAAAUCCAUGGGCUUAACCCAUGAAUUGCGUUUGAAACUGGAGGGCUUGAGGAUCGGAGAGGGCAGUGGAAUUCCCAGUGUAGCGGUGAAAUGCGUAGAUAUUGGGAGGAACACCAGUGGCGAAGGCGACUGCCUGGACGACACCUGACGCUGAGGCGCGAAAGCUAGGGGAGCAAACGGG